rnacentral:rRNA from 1 species
ACUCAAAUGAAUUGACGGGGGCCCGCACAAGCAGCGGAGCGUGUGGUUUAAUUCGACGCAACGCGCAGAACCUUACCCAGGCUUGACAUGGACCUGCAGAGCCGUGAAAGCGGUUAGCCUUCGAGGGGGGUCCACAGGUGCUGCAUGGUUGUCGUCAGCUCGUGUCGUGAGAUGUUGGGUUAAGUCCCGCAACGAGCGCAACCCCUGCCGGUAGUUACCUGUGUCUACCGGGACAGCCGCCUUGAUGGGCGGAGGAAGGCGGGGAUGACGUCAAAUCCGCAUGGCCCUGACGCCUGGGGCGACACACACGCUACAAUGGCCGGGACAGCGCGUUGCCAAGCCGCAAGGUGGAGCAAAUCGUAAAAACCCGGUCCCAGUGCAGAUCGGGGGCUGCAACUCGCCCCCGUGAAGGCGGAGUUGCUAGUAACCGCGUAUCAGCCACGGCGCGGUGAAUCCGUUCCCGGGCCUUGUACACACCGCCCGU